rnacentral:lncRNA from 1 species
AGGAGACCCAUUGCUCAGCCAUGGACUAGAUUGGAGAGUGCACGUGGGGCUGCUUCCAGGCAGCAUCUGUGGAGGUGUGAGCAGCCAGCAGCACAAGGCCGGACCCUGGAUGCUGCAGGAGCAACGGCUGCAGCUCAGCACAUCACCAUCUGUCAUCCACAUCCUCAGGGAUAGGGAUGACAUCGGCAUUGUUAUCCGGGGCAGCAUCAAUCUCCGCGACGCCACUGCGCGGAUUGUCAACCCGAAGACACUGCAUCCAACCACAGCCUGACGCACAGCCUCAGGUCAGACAGCGAGAAGGACCUGAGUCUCUUUCUCCACUUCGGGACAUGAAUGUCUGCAUCCCUGACCAACAGAGGUGCAUCCUGAGCUCUGCAGUGCAGUGCUUUUCUUCCUGAGCAAACCACCAUUUCACUGUGUUGCAUUUUUGUUCAUCUCAUUGGGUUGCGGCGAUUCCUGAAGAAAGGAAUUGCAGCUGAAUUGCAGCUGAAGAUGCAGCUCAAUUGCAGCUGAAGAAAUACCAAACCACGUGAACCUGCUGUUGUACCCUUGAAGGAAAUCCUCACCCAUGACGUGCUGUUUAUUUGCAACACAGCAAUGAAAGGGCACGGGGUGUGCUGGAAAAGUUGGGAUCUCAGCUGCUGAAAAAUGUCCUCACCUCUGAAAAUAUCACCUUAUUUGCAAUUGACGGCACCAACACUGCCUGUGGGGGAGCUGUAGGAAUUACUGGGAAGUAGAUAUGAGUAUUGCCUUUCAGUCACACACUGCAAAAAAAAAUGGUGCAAAAUAAUAAUAAAAGAGAAGCUGC